UGCGUAGGCGGAGAAGUAAGUCAGUGGUGAAAGGCUGCCGCUUAACGGUAGGACUGCCAUUGAUACUGCUUUUCUUGAGUAUGGUUGAGGUAGGCGGAAUGUGUGGUGUAGCGGUGAAAUGCAUAGAUAUCACACAGAACACCGAUUGCGAAGGCAGCCUACUAAGCCAUCACUGACGCUGAGGCACGAAAGCGUGGGUAGCGAACAGGAUUAGAUACCCUGGUAGUCC
rnacentral:rRNA from 1 species